UUAAGAAAAGUAUUAGUUUAGAUAAAGAUCAAGAACAGGUGGUUUUUUCAGGAACUCUGUUUUCUGCUACUUUAUCCUUAGUCUGCAGUUCUCACCUAAUUGAGAAAAUCAAAAAAUGCUCUAUAGAAGCUUCUUAGCGUGACACAUGGUAGUAGGUAGCUGUGGAAGAUGGCAGUGGGCAAACAUGCUGUGUGACCUGACAUGACAGAAGGCUGCAAAUAACGCAUGGUGCUGGUUAACUUCUUGAGGAAUCCAGGUCCUUACAUCUUGAUUCACAAGGUUCACAAGCAAAGACAGGAAGGUACCUAACUGGGAGGUGAAGACUUCUGCCAGAAAUGCAGGAAACAAAACUUCUCAAAAGACACAUUUUUUCAAUGGUAUAUCAUUUAUGGCACAGGUCAGCAAAGCAUUUAAUCAUGUACAGAAAUCUCAUCCAGUUCAGCAAAGCAAUUUUCUGUAUGUGGGAGCUCCCCAGCUGUACAAUUAGGAUAGAACUUUUCUCUCUGCUCUAUGAACUUACAGGGUUUAUAGAUGAACUUAUGAGUAUAUGUCACCAAGUCAAGAAGAGUGGUAGUUAUUAUUCAUUAAGCUGCAAAAUGGAGGCUGCGGGAAACAGUAAAGGUUGGGCACCAGAUGAAUACCAUGUCCAUCACUUUUUAGAUUAUUUCUUCUAUUUCUUAAAGAUCUGACAGCUGGAGGCAUGUGAUUAAAUGUUAUUUCCUACAUUUCAAAACCAAAUAAAUGAAAUGCAGUUGCUGUCCUUGGCUAUAGGAGAGGAAAAUGUGAAGACAGGGCUGGCAUGUUGGCUCAAAGAGGAGAAAGCAGAAGCUGAAAGCAAAUACGUUUUGGUUUCUUCUUAAGAUCUUGCAGUCUUUAAGUCAGUGUCAUGAUUUCAAGGGUGGUAAAGGGAAGUCCAGAAUCUUAAGGAGGUCUGGGGGACUGAUAAUUAAACAAGAUCAAGUGUUAAACACAAAGUUAAAGCAAAUGGUUUACUAAUAGUUUUGCUUCUUGAUAGAUUGCAUUAUGCUAGUUUUCAACCCCUCUGGUUUUACCUGAUCAAUUAAUUCUUACUGCUUGGUCGUGAGUGCAGUACUUGGUAAUCAUCCUCUAAGCUGAUAUGAUUGUGUUAACCAGCUAAACAAGUGAUGCAGUGUUUUGGGAGGAAGAGAGGAAUUAUCUGUGUAACUCUAAGACCCAAUGGCUAACCUAUUUCUGCCAGAACAAACACAUUCUGCCCCACUUGGCAAACUAGAGGGGAGGAAAAAAAAAAGAAUGAAAAUGUAGCAAGUUGACUCUUAUAGCAGCUGCUCUCUUUGGAUCGUCUUUGAAUUUGGGCAAAAACCUCUAGGAAGGGCUCUACUGGAGUAUGCAUGCAGUGCAUCAAGGCUAAGAAAGCCUGCAGGCAGCUAACCAGCUGAGUCCGUGCUUGAUUUGCUUCAAAUGUCACCACUCCAUAGAGCUACUGGCUGUAAAAUCAUCCUGUUCAGUCUAUACUUCUGACAGCUGGCAGAGCAUUUCAGAAAAUGAGGUGGAUUAAGGUUAAAGUGUCUUUCAUUCUCCUUCAUCUAGAAUGAAUGCUUCUAUGUAAGACUACUUUAAAAUGGAUUUUUGGGAAGAUUUCUUGUUGCAGUAUUUCUAGUUUUUCUACCAGUUCAGAGGGGCCCAUGCUGUGGCUUAAUGUGUGCCAAGUACUCUUUCUUACUCUGGGCAUGGUGAUUCCAAAGACAAGUAGAAGUUGGUGCAAUAAACAAAAGCAUCCCAUAUUGAUCCUCUUAGCCCUUUGCCUGUCACAUUUUUUUUCUUUGCCACGUUCACUCUCACUGAUAUUGUAUGUAAUCUCUUGAAUGUCUGCAGUGAGGACCUACGAGGUGUUUACCUUAAAAUAACCUGCUGCUGUCUUUGUUCCAUCUGUUAAGUACCUUUAAGAGA